rnacentral:rRNA from 1 species
CCUACGGGUGGCUGCAGUGGGGAAUAUUGCUCAAUGGGCGAAAGCCUGACGCAGCGACGCCGCGUGCGGGAUGAAGGUCCUCGGAGCGUAAACCUCUGUCAGCAGGGAAGAACCGCCACUGUGCUAAUCAGCAUUGAAUUGACGGUACCUGCAAAGGAAGCACCGUCUAACUCCGUGCCAGCAGCCGCGGUAAUACGGAGGGUGCGUGCGUUAAUCGGAAUGACUGGGCGUAAAGCGCUCGUAGGCGGUAGGUCAAGUCAAGGGUGAAAUCCCCGCGCUCAACGUGGGAACUGCCGUGGAAACUGGCAAGCUGGAGUGUGUGAGAGGAUAGUGGAAUUCGAGGUGUAGGAGUGAAAUGCGUAGAUAUGUGGAGGAACAUCAGUGGCGAAGGCGACUAUCUGGAACAUAACUGACGCUGAGGAGCGAAAGCGUGGGUAGCGAACAGGAUUAGAUACCCUAGUAGUC